AUUAUACGCUUGGCGAUUUUUGACACGUAUAUCUCGGCACAUGCGUCUGUCUUCAUAAAUGUUUUUUAUCGUUCGAAUUACACGAGAAAUUAGGAUACACCCUUCUUUUUUUGGGCCCAACCUACACAAUGAAAUUUAUUACAGACUUUAUCAAGAGGCUGAGGGUACUUUCGAUAACAACCAUGGUUGUAUCAUUCUUGUAAUAAGCGUUGAGGACAUCGGCCAUGGCCAAGUAGUAGAAAGCGGAUAUUCGGUGUUUCAAGUUUCUUUUCAGGCGUUAGUGUGUAGGCCUUUUUUGAAUCAGGUGGUCGAUGUGGAAGUUACCGGUACCACUCAGGACGGGAUCCAUUGCAGUGCUGGGCCUAUCAAUAUGAUUAUUGGAGCAGGUGCCCUUCCGAGAGAAUUUAAAUAUAAUACUCAACUCCAAGCUUACACAGUUGAAGGUGAGCAAUUAGAGAUAAAACAAGGAAAUAAUCUUAGGUUGAGAAUUAUCGGUGUUUCAUUCCAAAGCCGGGUGUAUUGUGUCGGUUCAAUAGACGGCGAUUUUCUAGGGCUCAUCGAUUAGGAAACACUGGAUUCCUAUUUUUAGAAAAAACAGAUCAGAGUGCGUGUACACUAUCAGUAGUGAAGCAGGCUUAUAUUGUAUACAUGCUCUAGAGACGACGUGUAUGUCACAGUCUAUUAUUGGAUAUGAGACUCAGGGUUAUUUCGAUAAAUGUCUAGCGCUUCUCGCAAAUACAAGAAAUUCUGACAUUUCAAAUGAAGUCUUCCAAGAAUGUAAAUUAUAUAGUUCAUGCAAAUGCAUGUUUACCUGCGCACACAUUUUUUACGAGUGAUGGGCCUCUCGUCAUGAGAAUAGAAGUAAUAUUCGGUUCGUUUGAUACAAGUGUACGUUUUAUGAACAGCGUACAAAGAAAGCAAUAAGCGUAGAACAGCGAGUUUAUUGCACUAGGGGACCCAGUCUGGCUUCUUGUAUACACAUAUAGUUAGUGAAGUUGUAAUACUCAAAACAGAAGUGUUUGCUGUAACUUAGCAGAGCUGAUUUUCUUGCUAUGGAUCUUAAUGGUUCUUUGUUUGUACCCUGAUCAGUAAUUGAAUCGAUUUCGGAUUGUACAGCCUAUGCUAAUAGAUAAGGUUAUUCUUUGCGUUCAUUGCUACUUGCCAAUAUCUUUUAGAGCCUUCCGUUAUUCCUUCAAUUUCUUCAGAUGUUAGAAAGCGUAUAAACUUUGCUGGCCUACCAGCCCAAAGUUCUUUAGAUUUGAUGCGUGCGCCUCUAUCUAAGAGACUAUUUGCCGCUAGCAUACUGUGCUUUUCCAUGUAAGAAUCGGGACAAACUGUUGAAUGCAUACCUACUAGGCAGCAUUCCUCGAUCGUACAUGCGGAGAGAUGGCAGUCGUGACCUAUAGUGACAAAAUGACCAAUAGUAGUCGAGCCAUCAUGCCGAAGACCAACGGAACCGUGGACUUCGGUAAUGAUAGUGUUGUCUUGAAUAUUGGUAGUACUUCCAAUUCGAAUAGAACCUACGUCACUACGGAUAACGACAUUGUACCAAAUUGAGACGUAAUCCUGGACCUAAGAAAGUAUGUGUCAAAAUGUGUAAACACAUGGUUUGUAUUUUUUAUUGCAUCUAGAGAGCAUAUUAUAAGGAUCGGGAUUUAAAUGGUAAAUUACCUCGACAUUACCGCAUACA